rnacentral:SRP_RNA from 1 species
UCCAGGUUGUUGUGAGUUAUGCCUGUAGUUUCAGCUACUCAGGAGGCAGAGGCAGAGGCAGGAGGAUCACUUGAGUCCAGGAGUUCCAGGUUGUUGUGAGUUAUGCCUAUCAGUUGUCUACACUAAGUUUAGUGUCAGCCCAGUGACCUCAUGGGAGGAGUAAACUAGCCUACAUUGGAAACGGAGCAGGUCGGAAUUCCUACGCUGAUCAGUAGUGGGAUUGUGCCUGAGAAUUGGCUCCAAACUAGGCAACAUAGUGAGACUCCGUCUUUA